CCCCCCCCUUAACCCCAUGCAAGUCGAGGGUAGAAGAAGCUUGUUUUUUGAGACCGGCGCACGGUGAGUAACGCGUAUGCAACCUACCUUAUACAGGGGAAUAGCCCGAAGAAAUUCGGAUUAAUGCUCCAUGGUUUAUCGAUAUGGCAUCGUAUUGAUAAUAAAGAUUUAUCGGUAUAAGAUGGGCAUGCGUAUCAUUAGCUAGUUGGUGUGGUAACGGCAUACCAAGGCAACGAUGAUUAGGGGUCCUGAGAGGGAGAUCCCCCACACUGGUACUGAGACACGGACCAGACUCCUACGGGAGGCAGCAGUGAGGAAUAUUGGUCAAUGGAGGCAACUCUGAACCAGCCAUGCCGCGUGCAGGAUGACGGUCCUAUGGAUUGUAAACUGCUUUUGUACAGGAAGAAACCUCCCUACGAGUAGGGACUUGACGGUACUGUAAGAAUAAGGAUCGGCUAACUCCGUGCCAGCAGCCGCGGUAAUACGGAGGAUCCGAGCGUUAUCCGGAAUUAUUGGGUUUAAAGGGUUCGUAGGCGGCUUUGUAAGUCAGUGGUGAAAUUUCCUAGCUUAACUAGGACACUGCCAUUGAUACUGCAGAGCUUGAAUAAUAUGGAAGUAACUAGAAUAUGUAGUGUAGCGGUGAAAUGCUUAGAUAUUACAUGGAAUACCAAUUGCGAAGCAGGUUACUACGUAUUUAUUGACGCUGAUGAACGAAAGCGUGGAGAGCGAACAGGAUUAGAUACCUGGGUAGUCC
rnacentral:rRNA from 1 species